rnacentral:lncRNA from 1 species
UGUUCUACUGAUCCUCGGUCCCGACCUGGUCACAGCACCUAAAAGGACCUAAUAAAAAUAAGUUAAGAAAAAAAAAAUUACUUCGAUUGCCUGGCUCUUCAGAGUGACAUUGAUUCGCUCAUGAGGUGGUGCUAUCAAAACGGGAUGGAGGCCAACGCAAAAAAGUGUCAAGUGAUUACAUUCGACCGUAAGCUGCGCCCAAUCAUGCACGCCUACAUGAUGGGAAUAUCCUUGCUAGACCGGGUGUGUUCUGUUAAGGAUCUUGGCGUUACUCUUGAUAGAAAGAUGACUAUCAACGAGCUUAUCACUUCCGUCACGGCUAAGGCGUUUGCUACAAUUGGUUUCAUCCGAAGAAACACGACUGCCUUCAAAGACAUCCACGCUCUAAAAGCUCCGUACAGCGCCCUACACUGAAAAUACGCCACACGUUUUAUUCAAGUGCCCAAACACUUGAAUGAUUGAAUAAAGCCACAUCAUAGAUUUAAUUGGUUUGUGUUUCAACAUCAUUCCAAACCAUUAUCAAAUGCAAGUGUUUAGGCGAUUGAAUUUUUGGUAUUUUUUGACAUGUUAUUGUCAUUCGGGUGGCUCAAGCUUUUCAAGUGUUUUGCUCAUGAAUUUGUCCCACUGCCUUUAACUAUUCAAAGUGAAGAGCAAAACCAUAGACUAAUUAAAGACUAAACACUCAGAACAUUUUUUUUCAAAAAAAUAUAACUUAUAAGCUGUGAACCGCGUGAACCCACGUUGUACCGCAUCGGCUCGCCCCCCGUAUGACAGAUUUUCUUGGCCGCACUGUUAUUUUCGAUUUUGCUUUGCGCUGAUUUGCGCGCGUAAAACGAGUUUGUUUAUGUUUUUAUUUUGGCAAAUCUGUUGACGGGUGGAAUUUUUUUUGCCAACUUCUGCUUAUAAUUUCGUAAAAUUAAUUAUCAGCAUCACGCCUUCAAGCAAUCGUUUUGAAACCGGUGCAGGUUGUUGGAGUUGGAGUGCACCAGGAGACAUGACUGUGUCAGUUAGUCAGGUUCGCGGCUUUUCAUCCAGCAGGUGCCCAACAUAAAGAAAGUUACGUCGCUGGAGUGAAAGAGUUCACCAUUUCGUCACGCUGUUAUCAUCCACAAAAAUCAAGUGUAAAAUAGCUAUCACAAGAGGCGGGCAAAAGGCCACCGUCCGCAAGAAAAGGAAGUACAAGGUGGUACAAGUUGGUACGCCCGGCCGCCAAAUCCAAGAUCCAUUUUGUGCAAAUCGCUGUGGAAACAGGAAGGUCUGUGCGCACCGUCUGGACGCCAGCAACUUUGCCUGGGCUUCGGAGGAUGCACGCUAGGCACGUCGUGAUCGAUGCCGCGCCGUUUCAUCAGUGGUACGAGAACCACUACCUGCAGUCGCAGGACAAGAAACGUGACCUGAAGGCCAGCUAGGAGGAUGUGUUAGCCAAAAGGACAGCAAGCAUCUGCUUAAGAAGUACGCCAAGCGUCAGAAGACUAACAAGAUCGAUUCCGCCCAGGAGUAGUAGUUCAACGCUAGACGUCUGCUGGCCGUCAUCGCUUCCCGACCUGGACAGAUUGGCCGUGCCGAUGAUCCUGAUGCUGUUCUGGGCUGCGCGGGCGAUGGAUCAGCGAAGAGAAGCGGAAGGAGGACAUCUUGUGUACACGAGGAGCAGGUUCGGGAACUCCAAUCUUAGGGAAAAGCAAGUCAAACCAAAAGUAUUUGUGAACCAAAAUGUGAAGAAUCUCAAUGGUCGAAUAAAUUUAGUUAGAAUGCAA